GACGAACGCUGGCGGCGUGCUUAACACAUGCAAGUCGAACGGUAAGGCCCCUCGGGGUACACGAGUGGCGAACGGGUGAGUAACACGUGGGUGAUCUGCCCUGCACUUCGGGAUAAGCCUGGGAAACUGGGUCUAAUACCGGAUAGGACCACUGCCUGCAUGGGUGGUGGUGGAAAGCUUUUGCGGUGUGGGAUGGGCCCGCGGCCUAUCAGCUUGUUGGUGGGGUGAUGGCCUACCAAGGCGACGACGGGUAGCCGGCCUGAGAGGGUGACCGGCCACACUGGGACUGAGAUACGGCCCAGACUCCUACGGGAGGCAGCAGUGGGGAAUAUUGCACAAUGGGCGCAAGCCUGAUGCAGCGACGCCGCGUGAGGGAUGACGGCCUUCGGGUUGUAAACCUCUUUCAGCACCGACGAAGCGCAGGUGACGGUAGGUGCAGAAGAAGGACCGGCCAACUACGUGCCAGCAGCCGCCGCAG
rnacentral:rRNA from 1 species